CUGUACUGAAGAGAGAGAAAAGAAUAUGGAGCGUUCAGAGUUCCUCUGAACUUUGUGCGAUUAAGACGUUGUUGUAGUUGCUCUUAUCAAGAGAAGAACAUGAGUAAGUUUUUGAGUGCGCUUGAUGCUGAUGUAGUGGACCUCCCACAGCGUCCCCUGACGUUCACGGACGGACAAGGCGAUGGAAAGAAAACAACAUCGGACCCCGAGGGUCCCAACUGAAGACCCAGUGUGUGACUGGGCCACGGAACCGGCUCUGCUCCAACCCACAGAGGUUCCUCAGGACCAGGUCACGGACGUUGUGACUCAGGCUGAGGAGAAGAUUCAGAAGCUUGUGGUGUCCAAUACUCGGCUCGAGGACAGAGUUAGGGAGCUGGAGGAACUGCUCUGUGAGGCACGCAGAGAUGACCUGAAAAGCAAGGUCUCCCUGACUAAGGCUGAGGAGUCCAUUGCUCAGUGGAAGGUGGAGAAGGCCAACCUGACCAACCAGGUGAAGACACAGCAAGGAAAAGUGCAGUACAUGGAGAACCUCCUCUGUAAGGCUCACAGGUGGUCUGUUGAUCGAAUCAAUGUCGUUCUGGCUGAAGAUGAGGAGAAACCCAGAAGGCUGUAGAGACCAUCGCUCAGUUUGAGGUGGAGAAGUCUGAGUUUCAGAUGAAGAACGAGGAGAUGAAGAAGUGUCUGAUACAGACAGUGGAGUCACUGAAGGUCUCUCUGGCUGAAACUGAGGAGAAACACCAGAAGGCUAUGGAGACCAUCGCUCAGCUUGAGGUGGAGAAGUCUGACCUGAAAGACCAGGUGGAGACACAGCGAGGAACAGUGCAGGACUGUGAUGAGUGACUCACUGCGAUGAGCUAAGAGACAAACAGGCAUACUCUUGGAUCCCAGGAGACGAGUGCUUGAGGCAGAAGGUAGUUGAACAGAAAUGGAUCCCCAGCAGAAUCAACAUGAUGGGGUAUGAGGGGUGAAAAUAAAGUAACAUAAUUUAAUGUGAAGUAAAAAGUCAAGCUGGUCUUAUAUAGGUGAUAAACACUGCCCCCUGGGUUCCCAGUGCCGGUCUUAUAUAGGUGAUAAACACUGCCCCCUGGGUUCCUACAAAGUGCCGGUCUUAUAUAGGUGAUAAACACUGCCCCCUGGGUUUCCUACCCAGUGCCGGUCUUAUAUAGGUGAUAAACACUGCCCCCUGGGUUCCCAGUGCCGGUCUUAUAUAGGUGAUAAACACUGCCCCCUGGGUUUCCUACCCAGUGCCGGUCUUAUACAGGUGAUAAACACUGCCCCUGGGUUUCCUACCCAGUGCCGGUCUUAUAUAGGUGAUAAACACUGCCCCAUUACUUUUGGCAUGUGUGUUUUGUUAACAAGUCAAUAUUACUGACAAACCAGGAAGCAUGCACUCAGGCUUUGAGCUCGUGCUUCGGGUUACGUCACCACGCCACGCCGUUUUUCUUUCCAGCUUGAUUUUAACUUCACAUCUUUUCACCCUUCAUACCUCAUAAGCUUCAUGGAUAAAUACAAGCAAGAAAUCAAACACAAAGACAGAAAGAACUCUUAAGUGUAUUUACGAAAAAUGAAAUGCAUUUGUCAUAAAGAAAUACUAAAUAACUAAAUAAAUGUGUGUCUAUGGAACAGUU
ensembl:lncRNA